CUGGCUCAGGAUGAACGCUAGCUACAGGCUUAACACAUGCAAGUCGAGGGCGAGCAUGUGGUUGCUUGCAACCGAUGAUGGCGACCGGCGCACGGGUGAGUAACGCGUAUCCAACCUUCCCUAUAGUAGAGGAUAGCCGGCGAAAGUCGGAUUAAUACUCUAUGUUGUUCAAUGCAGACAUCUAAGUUGAAUCAAAGGUUCACCGCUAUAGGAUGGGGAUGCGUCUGGAUUAGGUAGUCGGCGGGGUAACGGCCACCGAGCCAUCGAUCAGUAGGGGUUCUGAGAGGAAGGUCCCCCACAUUGGAACUGAGACACGGUCCAAACUCCUACGGGAGGCAGCAGUGAGGAAUAUUGGUCAAUGGGCGAGAGCCUGAACCAGCCAAGUAAGCGUGCAGGAUGACGGCCCUAUGGGUUGUAAACUGCUUUUAUACAGGGAUAAAGUCGGGGACGUGUCCCCGUUUGUAGGUACUGUAUGAAUAAGGACCGGCUAAUUCCGUGCCAGCCGCGGC
rnacentral:rRNA from 1 species